GAUGAACGCUGGCGGCGUGCCUAAUACAUGCAAGUCGAGCGAAGCGGGGACGGGUGAGUAACACGUGGAUAACCUCCUAUAAGACUGGGAUAACUACGGGAAACCGGAGCUAAACCGGAUACUUAUACAUGGAUCCUCGCUGCAUUAGCUAGGUGGUACGGUAACGGCUUACCAAGGCAACGAUGACUAGCCGACCUGAGAGGAUGAUCAGCCACACUGGAACUGAGACACGGUCCAGACUCCUACGGGAGGCAGCAGUAGGGAAUAUUCGGCAAUGGGCGAAAGCCUGACGGAGCAACGCCGCGUGAGUGAUGAAGGUCUUCGGAUCGUAAAGCACUGUUAGUAGGGAAGCGGUACCAAAACAAAAAGCAACGGCUAACUACGUGCCAGCAGCCGCGGUAAUAC
rnacentral:rRNA from 1 species